GAUGAACGCUGGCGGCGUGCUUAACACAUGCAAGUCGAGCGAAGCACUUACCAUUGACUCUUCGGAAGAUUUGGUAAAUGACUGAGCGGCGGACGGGUGAGUAACGCGUGGGUAACCUGCCUCAUACAGGGGAAUAACAGUUAGAAAUGGCUGCUAAUGCCGCAUAAGCGCACAGUACCGCAUGGUACGGUGUGAAAAACCGAGGUGGUAUGAGAUGGACCCGCGUCUGAUUAGGUAGUUGGUGGGGUAACGGCCUACCAAGCCGACGAUCAGUAGCCGGCCUGAGAGGGUGAACGGCCACAUUGGGACUGAGACACGGCCCAGACUCCUACGGGAGGCAGCAGUGGGGAAUAUUGCACAAUGGGGGAAACCCUGAUGCAGCGACGCCGCGUGAAGGAAGAAGUAUCUCGGUAUGUAAAC
rnacentral:rRNA from 1 species